GGAAGAUAUUUUGGCAUGGGAUAGAAACCUAAUUUGGCAACUUUUUUUUCUCUCGGUUCAUUCAGAAUGUUUCUUCUCUGUCUUCUGGGUCACAUGGUUUCAACAAGAUAUUUCAUGUUAUGAUCGGUUCCUUUGUACCUACUCUUUAUAUUUCUCUGAUUGCUUUUAAGAUUUUCUCUUUUAUACUGAUAUUAAGUAAUUUGAUUACAUUGUGCCUUGGUGUUAUUUCCUUAUGGCGUGUGUGUGUGUGUGUGUGUGUGUGUGUGUGCGCGCACGUGCGUGUGUGGAGUUAUUUGAACAACCUGAAUCUGUAGAUUUAUAUUUUUCAUCAGUCUGGAAAAUUCUUGGCUAGUAUUUUUCUUUUUGCCAUUCUGUCUCCUCUUCUUUGGUGACUCUAAUCAUAUGUAUUAAUAAACUAAUAAUUAAAGACAUCCUGCGUCCUCAUUGACACUCUGAUAAUUAUUUUUUGCCUGUGUUUCCUUUUGGAUAAUUUUCAUUGCUGUAUCUUCACGUUCACUAUUCUUUUCUUUGGUUGUAUCUAAUCUGCUUUGAAUCUUAGCCAAUAUAUAUUUUAUCUCAGACAUGGUGGUUUUCCUAUUUGGAAGUUUNNNNNNNNNNNNNNNNNNNNNNNNNNNNNNNNNNNNNNNNNNNNACUUCUUGAAAUUAUGAACUAUAGUUUUUAAUGUGCUUGUCUGCUAUAAUUAUACCAUCUCUGUCAUUUUGGAGCCAGUUCCAACUGAUUGAUUUUCCUCUUCAUUAUCAGUCAUAUUAUCUUGCCUUAUAGCCUUGUCUUUCUAUCUAUGUCUUAUAGUGUGUGAUUGAUUUGAUCCUUUCAGUCUUACUUUUAAGCUUUAUAAUGAAGGAAUAGAGCAGUUGAUCCAGGGCGUAUUUUCUACCACUAUUGAGACAGAGUACUCCUGAGAAUUCUUCCUGAUUUGUGGAUUGUGAGGUUUUUUUUUUUUUUUUUUUUUUUACUCUGGCUGGAUCUUUGGUCUACUGCAGCAUAGGCUCACAUUAUUAGAAACUGAAGAAGAAAUACUAAAAGGUGGAGUUACCAUUAUGUCUCAGCAGUAACAAAUCUGACUAGGAUCCAUGAGGAUGCAAGUUUGAUCCCCAGCCUCACUCAGUGGAUUAAGGAUCCCACGUUGUCAUGAGCUGUGGUGUAGAUUGCAGACGCUGCUCGGAUCCCGCGUUGCUGUGGCUCUGGCGUAGGCCGGUGGCUACAGCUCUGAUUCGACCCCUAGCCUGGGAACCUCCAUAUGCCGCGGGAGCGGCCCAAGAAAUAGCCAAAAAAAAAAAAAAAAAGAAAAAAAAAA
rnacentral:lncRNA from 1 species